UACGUAGGGUGCGAGCGUUAAUCGGAAUUACUGGGCGUAAAGCGUGCGCAGGCGGUUCGUUAAGUCAGAUGUGAAAGCCCCGGGCUCAACCUGGGAACUGCACUUGAAACUGGCGGGCUUGAGUAUGGCAGAGGGGGGUGGAAUUCCGCGUGUAGCAGUGAAAUGCGUAGAGAUGCGGAGGAACACCGAUGGCGAAGGCAGCCCCCUGGGCCAAUACUGACGCUCAGGCACGAAAGCGUGGGGAGCAAACAGG
rnacentral:rRNA from 1 species